rnacentral:lncRNA from 1 species
ACUUCCGGGCCGCCGUCCUGCGGGCAAGGGUGGACACCGUGUGGGAUUGAGAGGGGCCUGGUGGGGUGGGUUCCAACCAACCCGCCCCUCGAGUGCCGGAAUCAGCAGGACGAAUCGGGUCCCAAAGAUGUGGGCAAGACUGUUCCGAGGGUCGAAACUCUGGUUCAGGAUAAGAUUAGCAGGUAUUUCACAGAGUCGACUUAAGGAAGCUAGUGCCGGAGAGGGAAGAAGUACGAAGGGCUUGCCAGUGAGCCUUAAUGACUGAUUGAUCAAGUGGGAGGGCACUGCACUGGCGGUCAGAGAACUGUUCUGUCACUGACUUGCUCUUGUGAUAAUGGUAGGCUAGUGCAUUUCUAGCUCAGGCGCAAAUUUCUCCCGACUCUAAAGUCAUACACUUGCCUUAGAUGAUGCCCAGUGGUCCUCUAAUUAAUGAUUUUUUUUAAGCUUAAAGACCUUCAUACUAUACGUUGGCAAGGGUAAAGUGUAGAGCCUUUGUUUCACAAGAAGCCAGAUAGUAAUUUCUUCUCCAGGAAAUCAUUCCGUAAGUCAGAAUUUCUCCUCUGUACCCACCCAUAAAUGAUAAUACAGGCCGUAUUUUACCUGGUGCUGUAUUUGUGUACCUGUCCGCUGUCAAAAUCCAAGCCCUUGAAGGCAGGCUUCCUUCAGAUCUUCAUUGCCUUGCACAAUGCAAGGGUAGGUACUUCCAUCUUAAUUGAAUUUUUACUUCCCAUAAAAAUUCUUCAUGGUGACUUACAUUAGUCAUCAUUACACAUCACCGUCAGUUUUGUAAGCACAGUGUCAUUCAAGGUAUUGUAAAAUUUUGAGUUUGAUGAUGUGUGACAGUUUCAAUUAUUUUAGUACAGCCCUAAUGAGAACAAGGCCGUAGUAUUGAUUCCCUUCAAAGUUGGCGUCUAAGUGAAGGUCACAUUCACAAGGAGGGCCUAACUGAAAGCAUGUGGAAGCAUCAUUAUAAACUGUUGCUAACACGCACAAAUAAAGGCUAUUAAUAGGUAUUGUUUUUCUUUUUCUUUUUCUUUUUUUUUUUUUUUUGAGUCACUCUCACUCCAUCGCCCAGGCUGGAGUGCAGUAGCACCAUCUCGGCUCACUGCAACCUCCGCCUCUGUUUUUCAGCUCCUUAGUUAAGCAUACAGCUCCAGUCAAACCAAACUAGAGGUCUGUCUGUCCUUCCAUUUUACUUGCUGUUUUAUGUCUUUUAAAAGCAAGAAGGUUUUCAAACUGUUCUUAAAGCCACGGCUUAACCAGGAGUCCCUUUAAUUAGAGCAACUGUACCUUUGUGAGUUGGAGGAAUGCCAGGUAAUAUAU